rnacentral:rRNA from 1 species
AGUGAACGCUGGCGGUAGGCCUAACACAUGCAAGUCGAACGGCAGCACAGUAAGAGCUUGCUCUUACGGGUGGCGAGUGGCGGACGGGUGAGGAAUACAUCGGAAUCUACUUUUUCGUGGGGGAUAACGUAGGGAAACUUACGCUAAUACCGCAUACGACCUACGGGUGAAAGCAGGGGAUCUUCGGACCUUGCGCGAUUGAAUGAGCCGAUGCCGGAUUAGCUAGUUGGCGGGGUAAAGGCCCACCAAGGCGACGAUCCGCAGCUGGUCUGAGAGGAUGAUCAGCCACACUGGAACUGAGACACGGUCCAGACUCCUACGGGAGGCAGCAGUGGGGAAUAUUGGACAAUGGGCGCAAGCCUGAUCCAGCCAUACCGCGUGGGUGAAGAAGGCCUUCGGGUUGUAAAGCCCUUUUGUUGGGAAAGAAAAGCAGCAGGUUAAUACCCCGCUGUUCUGACGGUACCCAAAGAAUAAGCACCGGCUAACUUCGUG